AUUGAACGCUGGCGGCAUGCCUUACACAUGCAAGUCGAACGGUAACAGGUCUUCGGAUGCUGUCGAGUGGCGACCGGGUGAGUAAUACUUAGGCACGUGCCCGCUCGUGGGGGAUAACGGGGCGCAAGCUUUGCUCGUACCUCAUACGAUCUACGGAUGAAAACGGGAGGGUUUCGGACCUCGCGCGGACGGUGCGGUCGCUGGCAGAUUAGGUAGUUGGUGGGUUAAAAGCUUACCAAGCCGACGAUCUGUAGCUGGUCUGAGAGGGUGAUCAGCCACACUGGAACUGAGACACGGCCCAGACUCCUACGGGAGGCAGCAGUAGGGAAUUUUGGACAAUGGGCGAAAGCCUGACCCAGCCAUGCCGCGUGCAGGAUGAAGGCCUUGGGGUUGUAAACUGCUUUUAUACGGAACGAAAAGCCUCUUUCGAAUAAAGAGGGGUCAUGACGGUACCGAAAGAAUAAGCACCGGCUAACUACGUG
rnacentral:rRNA from 1 species